rnacentral:rRNA from 1 species
GAGAGUUUGAUCCUGGCUCAGGACGAACGCUGGCGGCGUGCUUAACACAUGCAAGUCGAACGAUGAAGCCCAGCUUGCUGGGUGGAUUAGUGGCGAACGGGUGAGUAACACGUGAGUAACCUGCCCCUGACUCUGGGAUAAGCGUUGGAAACGACGUCUAAUACUGGAUAUGACUUGGCUAUCGCAUGGCCUGGUGGUGGAAAGAUUUUUUGGUUGGGGAUGGACUCGCGGCCUAUCAGCUUGUUGGUGAGGUAAUGGCUCACCAAGGCGACGACGGGUAGCCGGCCUGAGAGGGUGACCGGCCACACUGGGACUGAGACACGGCCCAGACUCCUACGGGAGGCAGCAGUGGGGAAUAUUGCACAAUGGGCGAAAGCCUGAUGCAGCAACGCCGCGUGAGGGAUGACGGCCUUCGGGUUGUAAACCUCUUUUAGUAGGGAAGAAGCGAAAGUGACGGUACCUGCAGAAAAAGCACCGGCUAACUACGUGCCAGCAGCCGCGGUAAUACGUAGGGUGCAAGCGUUGUCCGGAAUUAUUGGGCGUAAAGAGCUCGUAGGCGGUUUGUCGCGUCUGCUGUGAAAUCCCGAGGCUCAACCUCGGGCUUGCAGUGGGUACGGGCAGACUAGAGUGCGGUAGGGGAGAUUGGAAUUCCUGGUGUAGCGGUGGAAUGCGCAGAUAUCAGGAGGAACACCGAUGGCGAAGGCAGAUCUCUGGGCCGUAACUGACGCUGAGGAGCGAAAGCGUGGGGAGCGAACAGGAUUAGAUACCCUGGUAGUCCACGCCGUAAACGUUGGGCGUUUGAUGUAGGGACCUUUCCACGGUUUCUGUGUCGUAGCUAACGCAUUAAGCGCCCCGCCUGGGGAGUACGGCCGCAAGGCUAAAACUCAAAGGAAUUGACGGGGGCCCGCACAAGCGGCGGAGCAUGCGGAUUAAUUCGAUGCAACGCGAAGAACCUUACCAAGGCUUGACAUACACCGGAAACGGCCAGAGAUGGUCGCCCCCUUGUGGUCGGUGUACAGGUGGUGCAUGGUUGUCGUCAGCUCGUGUCGUGAGAUGUUGGGUUAAGUCCCGCAACGAGCGCAACCCUCGUUCUAUGUUGCCAGCGCGUUAUGGCGGGGACUCAUAGGAGACUGCCGGGGUCAACUCGGAGGAAGGUGGGGAUGACGUCAAAUCAUCAUGCCCCUUAUGUCCUGGGCUUCACGCAUGCUACAAUGGCCGGUACAAAGGGCUGCGAUACCGUAAGGUGGAGCGAAUCCCAAAAAGCCGGUCUCAGUUCGGAUUGAGGUCUGCAACUCGACCUCAUGAAGUCGGAGUCGCUAGUAAUCGCAGAUCAGCAACGCUGCGGUGAAUACGUUCCCGGGCCUUGUACACACCGCCCGUCAAGUCAUGAAAGUCGGUAACACCCGAAGCCGGUGGCCUAACCCUUGUGGAAGGAGCCGUCGAAGGUGG